rnacentral:rRNA from 1 species
AGAACGAACGCUGGCGGCGUGGAUAAGACAUGCAAGUCGAACGCGACUUAUAGCGAUAGCAAUAUCAUUGUAAGUUGAGUGGCGAAAGGGUGCGUAACACGUGGGAAUUUACCAAGAAGUGGGGAAUAGCUCGACGAAAGUCGAAUUAAUACCGCAUAUGAUCGCAAGAUCAAAGCCGGGGACCGCAAGGCCUGGCGCUUUUUGAGAAGCCCGCGGCCCAUCAGCUAGUUGGCGGGGUAACGGCCCACCAAGGCUAUGACGGGUAGCUGGUCUGAGAGGACGACCAGCCACACUGGAACUGAGACACGGUCCAGACACCUACGGGUGGCAGCAGUCGAGAAUUUUUCACAAUGGACG